rnacentral:lncRNA from 1 species
GUAUUGACCUGGUAUCUUGUAGGCUGAUACAUUAACAUAUCAGCUUGGGUAUUUUUGAUUAAUUCCUUAUAGUUUUUUUAUAAAUAAGAAAUCAUGUUGUCUAUGACAUUUUUACUUAUUCCAGUCCAAACUUUAUGCUAUUUUGUUUUCUUUCCUUACCGCACCUUCAGUAAAAUGUUGAAGAGAGGUUUUGGGUUUGCUUUCAUCAGAAGUGGGUGUAAAAUUUUGUGUAGUCUUUUUUACUAUGUGAUGUCGUAUGAUUUUUCUCCUUCAUGUGGUGAGUUACAGUGAUUGAUUUUAAAUAUUAAACCAAUCUUGAGUUCCUAGGGUAACCUCACACUGAUUAGGAUGGCCAUUGUUAGAAACCAGAACAGAACAAGUGUUAGCAAAGAUGCAGAGAAACUGGAAUACUCAAGCACUCUUGGUAGGAAUGUAAGUGGUACAGCCGCUGUGGAAAUCAGUAUGGCAGUUCCUCAAAACCUUAAAAACAGCAUGACCCUGUGAGUCAGAAAUUCUGCUUCUGAGAAUAUUCCCUAAAGAAGUGAAAGCAAGGUCUUAAAGAAAUAUUUCUACACUUGUGUUCCGACAGUGUUGUUUGUAGUAGCUAAAACAUUCAACAACACAAUUGUCUAUCACGGGAUGGAAAAACAAGCAGAUGUGAUAUGCACAUACAAUGGAAUUUUAGUCAUCUCUAAAAAGGAAUGAUAUUCUAAUAGGUUGUAGCAUGGAUGGACCUUGAGGAUGUCAUUGCUGAGACAAAUGCUUUAUGAUUCCACUUCUAGGAGGUAAUGAAAAUCCCAGAUACAGAAGGUAGAAUUGGUAUUUGCCCUAGGUUGGGGUGAGUGGGGAUGGGGAGUUGUGAUUUAAUGGAGGUACAGAGUUUCAGUUUUGCUGUGGAGAUGGAUGGUGGUGCUGGCUGCAGAACAUUAUGAGCAUAUUUAAUCCCACUGAACUGCACCCUAAAAACGGUUACGAUGGUAAAUUUUGUUGUGUACGUUUUACCAUAGUAGAAAUCAUGAAUUAAAAAAAGAGAACAGAUUAUUGAUAUCUUUUUUUAACCUGUUGAUACAUUGAUUUGCUAACAUUUUGUUAAAUAUUUCCAUGACUAUGUCCACUGAGAAUAUUUGAUGAAGUUUUCUUAAAUAGUAUCUUCUAGGUUUUGGUGUUGGUGUUAUACUGGUUUUAUAA